rnacentral:rRNA from 1 species
UACGUAGGGGGCUAGCGUUGUCCGGAAUCAUUGGGCGUAAAGCGCGCGUAGGCGGCCAGAUAAGUCCGGUGUGAAAGUCACAGGCUCAACCUGUGAAUGCCGCUGGAAACUGCCUGGCUUGAGUCCGGAAGGGGCGAGUGGAAUUCCCGGUGUAGUGGUGAAAUGCGUAGAUAUCGGGAGGAACACCAGUGGCGAAGGCGACUUCCUGGCCUGUUCUUGACGCUGAGGCGCGAAAGCUAGGGGAGCAAACGGG